UGAAAUGAUAAAAGGAGUACCCGACAAGGCAUAUAAAAGAAGCGAACUCUAAGCUAAGUACCCGGAAACACAUAUAAAAGAAUCGAACUCUAAGCUAAGUACCCAGCAAGGCAUAUAAAUCUAACUCUACCAGAAUAAACAAGGAUACUAUUAGUCAAGGCAAGCACAUAAUGAAUAUGAUCUCUAUAUGAGUGUUAGCAUUUAUCGAUAAAGAGAAUAUGUUUCGCUAUUUGGAAGUGGUUGUUAUUUUCUUCUGAGUAAUGAAAGAACUCGCUCUGAAUUUGGGGGUUCUGGAAUUCCCCUAUCAACAUGAAUAAAGAACUAUACCCCUAUAAACAUGAAUCAUCA
rnacentral:lncRNA from 1 species